rnacentral:rRNA from 1 species
UACGUAGGUCCCGAGCGUUGUCCGGAUUUAUUGGGCGUAAAGCGAGCGCAGGUGGUUUAUUAAGUCUGGUGUAAAAGGCAGUGGCUCAACCAUUGUAUGCAUUAGAAACUGGUAGGCUUGAGUGCAGGAGAGGAGAGUGGAAUUCCAUGUGUAGCGGUGAAAUGCGUAGAUAUAUGGAGGAACACCGGUGGCGAAAGCGGCUCUCUGGCCUGUAACUGACACUGAGGCUCGAAAGCGUGGGGAGCAAACAGG